rnacentral:rRNA from 1 species
UUUAUUUUAAUUUGACUUUGGUUGAUUUUUAAUUAUUGUAAAUUUAUACAUGUUAGGUUUGGUUAAUAUGUUGUUUAUAGCGAAAUUCUUGGGAAUUUAUAUUUGUUUUAAAAAUUGUAUUUAAUAUAUGUUUUUGGGAAUAUAAAUAGGGUGUAUUAGAUGUUAUUAGUAAUAGUUAUAGAUCGAGAUGUUCAGUAUAUUUAUUUAUACAAUAAAUGAGAGUUUUAUAUAGAAAUUAUAAGUGAAGAUUGGAUAAAUUUGUGCCAGCAUCUGCGGUUAUACAAAUGAUUUAAGUUAAAAAAUGUUGGUUUAAAAUAAAGUAAUAUAAAUAUUGAAAAAUAAGAGUUGUAGGAAGGAAAUUAUAGGAUUGAUUAUUAGGUAAAAUUUUGUGAAUUGGUUUGUUAUUUAUUAAUUUUCUUUAAUAUUAAUGCUUUGAAAGUUAAAAGAUAGACUAGGAUUAGAUACCCUAUUAUUUUUAUUUGUAAAAGUUGAUUGUAUUUACCAAGGUAUUAUGAAUGAAAUUAAUUAAUGAAGAUGUUAUUAUAAGGUUAAUUUAUAUUUAAAAUUUAAAAGGUUUGGCGGUCUUACAUAUCCAGUUAGGGGAGUUUGUUAAUUUGUUUGAUAAUCCUCAUUUUAAACUUACUUUUUUUUGAAUAUGAAACAGUUUAUAUAUUGCUGUCGUCAGUUUAUUUUUUGAGAAUAAAAACAGUUAAAUUUUUGGAUUUUUAUGUCAAGUCAUAAUGUAGCUUAUAAAGAAGGUUUAAUGAACUACUAUAAAUAAUUUUUUUUAUUAUUCGGAUAAUGAAAAUUAAAUUUUGUUGGAAGAGGGACUUAAUAGUAAAAUUUAAUUAGUAUGUAUAAUUGAAUAUGGUUUUGUAAGGUGUACAUAUCGCCCGUCACUCUUGUUUAUAGAUAAGAUAAGUCGUAACAUAGUAGAGGUAAUGGAAAUUGUUUCUGGGAUAAAAAGAGU